CAUGCUCUGCUAAUGGGGUAGGAUCCGACGCCUCGCUGGAAGGCUAACAUAGGCUCUCCUACUCAACUCCCAGACCGGCACGUCCACGUCGUGCAGAGCGGUCACAUGCGUUGCCACGAGGUGCAAGGGCUGGUUGGUCCCUUUUCUUCUCUGGUCAAGAAGAAGCUGGUAACGCAUGGCCAAGCCGGAGGGAGGGGUAGUGAAGGAAGGAAGUCAAGGAAGAGAUGGGCCGCCUCUCCUUUUCUACUUCCAACACUACCUAGCGGUUCCUGACGACCAAAGUGGUGAGGCUCGUGCCCCAGUCUCACUGCAAUUGGAAUAACGAUCGACCGAACGUCGGAACAUCCAUUGAAUACCUUUCAUCGUUUUUCUUUGCAAAGAUCAACACGCAAGCAUUCCAUCCAUAGGCGUCUGGGUAGCCUCAACUUUACGUGGAAACGAUAGAACGCUGAUGAUGUGCUGCUUCAAAAUCAAACUUAUAAACACAUACCAGCUUCUAAUCCGCUUUCUGUGGCGCCUACCGGGAGUGUUGUUCUUGUGAAGUUGUUUGACAAUGAGUCAUCGGCCAUGAAGUAACAAUCGCACCAUGAGCUCCAUGUGACUUGUAUAACGUAUUUACUAAAUAAAACGAUGGUUAAGGAUUGAAACCAACUACCAUCAUAUCAUAUUCGUGCUUCAACACUUGAGCGGACCAAUUUUAAACACCAGCUCGUCUGUAGUUUGCAUUUCAAGUGAUGGGCAUACGAAUAUUCCACAUUCACUGGUUGAUCUAAAGAAACUGCCCCAGCCAGAAUCAUCAACCUUCAGUCUGAAAUCUGGGAUGUCGAGUAUGUAAUCCACCAUGAUCAAUCAACGAAACUACCAUUAUCAUCAAGAUUUGUCCAUUUUGUCCAUGGCAAUACGCAGCUUCUUCGAGGGUAUGUACGCAUCUCACUCCUUUAGACUUAAUUUAGUUAUGGGGAGACAACAAAUUGUUUUAAUCAUCAUCAAGAUUAGAAGUUCUAGGUACAGAAUUUAGUUUAUGCAUAGCUCUUAAUCAUCAAGCGCCGUUGGGCAAAUUUAGUUCAAGGUUUCAAGUUUAAGGGAAUCGCAAACAAACCGAUCGACUUGUCUGUGGUAUUGAGCUAAACCUAUUGCUCUCUGGUUGUUGUAAAAUGACAACAAAGUGAUGCUUCUACCACCAGCACAAAGCUCCGCUAUUACUGGAGAUUCACGAAAGCUUCGAUGCAGAAUACAAAACCUUUUCGUAAAGCAAGCCACAUAAUUCACAUGCUUUUCGCGACUUUUGGAAUCCUGCAGGAGUAUAAAUUGAACAAUUGUAUAUAAAAAUGGUAAACAAUAUAGAACAGGCGAUUCUCUAGGGCACAAGUUUUCCAAUUUCAAAUCAGCUUUAGAUUGCUUUCUUCUGCGUUACAAUACAUCUUGUCCUUUUAAAGUGAGGCCAUGCUGCAGAUAAAAUAUCUAUUGCGUCCUGGGCAGUAAAACCAAUGCUGUCAUUGUGAUGGCUUAAAUCAUUACUAUUAUUCUGAGCAGCUGCUUCUAGGGGGUUCCAAAGGAAACUGAAAUAUAUUCCUACCCUAGCGAGGUCUUGUUUGUGGCAAGCACUAUUGCCGUUGCAGAUCUGCCGUUUUGAUCAAUAGCCUCAUUCGAUUCUCUCUCUUCAAGAGGCUCUCUACUCAAGACUAAGUUGUAGACUUUUCUAUACCUCCGGGUAUGUUUGCGUUAUGCAUGAACAUUCCAUUGAAUUUUCCUGCAGUACAAUGCGUAUGCUUUUCAACCACUUAAAUUUCACUUAUCAUCUCACCAAACAAACAUAAUUUCCGGUCGAUUCCGGCGUUCUUUAUCUGAAGCAGUAGCAUGGCGGGAUGCUUUAUGUCCUCCUGAUACUCCUACUAUUAUACAUUUUUCACAAUCUGAUACCAAGAUGUAAUGACUCUUGAGCAUAGCCGUUGGUCAAACAUUUUACCAAAACAGUUCAUUGGCUUUGUUGCAAUUUUAGUAUAUGUCCAGCCGAAGCUAGAACUAGUCCACAAUUUAAGCUAGAGCUUCUCUACGGCUCAUUCUGCCGAUGGUGAUGCCGUUGUUGGGUUUGGCAGCGAACGCUAAAUUUAAUAUAGCUGAGUGUAUUCACCUAAUUCCCUCACUUUUAUGUACAGGUACCGUGAGGCAUAGCCUAGCAGCUCAAGGAAUCGGCUAUUGUUGUCCUUUUCGUCAUCCUCGUCCAUUUCCGUUCAGCGCUUAUCGCCAUGUCCUACACACGGAUCACACAACACGUUUUUCUCACUCACCUGUUUUCAAAUCGAACCGCUUAACGAUGAUGGCGAGAUGAUCGUUUGGUUCAUUUGGUUGGUGUCCUUAGCAAAAAAGUUGAGGAAAACAAACUCUUAAGGUGUGCAUGAGUACAUAGAAACAUUGUCCCACCUUCCAUAAGCGGGGGAAUGCAGCUUCGUUGGAAGAAGCAACAGCUGCUUAUGCGGCAGGACCGGGGUUGUAAUCCCAUCUGGACCGUUCUCCCGUAGUGAGAUAACUGACUAUCCAACUGCGUGGUAUCUGUAAGUCUGGUUAGCGAGAAAUGGCAGGCAUGCUCUAAGAGGCUGUUAGACCGCAGAAGAAGAAGAAGAAGAAGAAGAAUUUACCUAAGUUUGUUGCUAUCUUCGAGUGGAUUCUCUACUCAGUACACAUCAUUUGUUUUAUGAUGGCUUUAAGCCUUUUAAAUGUACACCAUAUUCGGAAUGUGUAUUCAUCCUCCAUAAUGCGAGUCUUAGAUGCGGUAAAGCAGUAUAUUGCUAGCACGGAACUUGAUUUCCACGAUCGAUGCAUGCUCCCAUGGAACGGCUUGUUCAGUUGAAUUCGUCCCCUGUGUUACAUUUUAUUUGUCCUCUUCAAGUUGAGUAUGAAAUACUGAUAUAAUCACUCAUUUCUACAUUAUCCUCCACCGAAACUUGUGUUGUGCACUUUAGAACCGGACGCUGACUUCCUCGAUAGUUACCAAUAACGGGAGCAGCAUCGCCGCUGACAACAGCAGGAAUGGUGGUCCUGGUCCCUUCACUACCACACCAAGCGCACAAAUACUGGUCCGGGUUUUAUUCAUCUGUAGCUACCAUAGAUCAUCCGACAGACAAGAGAACCCGUUCUGUCUUACAGUCUCUAUGAUUUUCCAGCCAAAUGCCAACCAUUAUUCGCGAACGCUGAGCAAAAGUUUUGUAAUGGAGAGUUGCCUCUUAGAGUCCAAAGGGUUAAGAGGAUCAUAAGACACUUUACAUAGACUUAUGUUAAAAGCAGAACAAGCUGUAAGAGCGUAGCAAAAAUUUGAAGGCUUUCACUGUGUUUGUAUCCUAUUUGAGUAGAGAUAUGUACGUCAGAAGUCAAUUUGCUUCCUGAAGUCAAUACUACACCGCAAAGGUCCACCUCUUGUAACGAACAGUGGUUAGCAUUCGGCUGGAGAAUCAUAGAAACUUUGGGACAGAGCGGAUACUCUUGUCCCUCGGAUGAUUUAUGGAAGCUUCAGGUGAAUAAAAUCUGGGUCAAUAUUUGUGUGGGAUGGUGUGGUCGUGAAAGGGCUUUGGCCAGCAUUUCUGUUGUGGUCGGCAGUGACGCUGCUUCUGCUCUGGUACUAUCGAGGAAUUCAACGUAAGGUUCUAGGGUGUAAAACACAUGCGUUAUGCAUUAUGCGAUGAACCGUUCAGCAAUUAUAAAGUAAACCAUAAAAAAUUACAUUCGUACGACUGGUGAGAUAAUUGAGGCUAGCAAAAUCGCGAUCUGAUUGCCUUGGUGCUGAUAAGGGCUCAUUAUCAAUAGGAAGCCAAAAGAUGCCAGUGUUUCUCGAUCGCGGUGCAAUUUUCUUCAACUGUAUCAAGCAUUUUAGAUAUUCAUACAUUUACUAGUGUAAAUGUUUGAAGAUUUACUGUGCUUGAUACUUCUGCUUUGAUGGAAUUGUGCUUCAUAAAUGAAUAUUAAAAGAAACUCUGUGCGCGGUACAUCGUCGUUGGAGUUACGAGCUACGUUAGCUGGUAACUUGCAUCAGCAGAUCUGAUUUGCUGCCAUUAUGCAACUCAUGCAGUUCUUCGUUCGAUGGCCAUUUACUCUCGACUAUUAUCUGAACAGUAGGGAAGUUCCUCAAGACUUUUCCUUCCUGAUUUAUGAUACACUAGUGCAAAUAACAAGCACUUGAAUUCCUGAUAAUUUCAAAAAGGUAUGAAAAUUGUGUUCCGCGAUCAUCUCGGUUUCUGCAAAAGCCGUCGAAUCCAACAAGAUAUUGGAAGCUGUAACGACAUACCGUCUCCAUUCGUAUUGGCUUUGGUCAAUACAGUAACUUCGUCUCGCACGGUGAUUUACGAUGAUGAUAGUGAUGAUAACGGCUAUUGCACAAGGACGAUUGACCAACAGCUCCUGUCCGUUGAAUGCGUUUGUUACUAGCCAAGGUGUCUAAGUCACAGUUUUAAUUUGAUCGGUAAAGUUUUAUAUGAAUUUAAAAGAAAAUGUGCUACUUGUCUAUCAGCUUCUGAGACUUUGCUUUCGAUGGUUUGGCCAUUAUGUCCGAUUGCUGAUGAUGAGAUGAGAUGAGAAGAGAACGUUCGUUUAAAUGCUCGUUACCUUCUGAUAGAUGAUCGUCUAUUACGAUGAUGCUCUCUACCAUUUGAGUGAAAUCUGAUUAACAAGGUUUCUAUCCACUGACAACGCAGCCUUCAGUUUGACCUGCUCGAGUCGAAGAAUUUGAAAUACUAUUUGAAAGAUCGUCAAAUAACAACCAUCGUUCCACAUAUUUUGAUUGGGGGAUUGAGGAAUGAUGACGAUCCCGGACACUCCCUUUGAACAAUGUUAUUAUUGUUAUUAUUACUAUUACUAUUACUAUUAUUACUAUUAUUACUAUUAUUAUUACAUCUGCAUGGCCUCACAGGAUUUUGAUUCGCUUUGAGCAACUCUUUACGGAAGAAAACGACCGGUUAAGGUCAACAAUUAAACCGAUCCACCUACCAAUGGCCACCGAGCGUUAGGAAAAGCCACCCAUCCACCAUCCGUUACUGAUGAGGAACUUUCGUUUUUCACUGGGAGUAGCUAAAACCAUCGCGUUCUUGUUCUUGAGUUCAAGGUGGGAAAAUCACAUCAUUGUCUUCCUCCCAACGCUCGUUAGCCGUUCGUCGGUGGAUCGGGUUGAUCUUCGUCCGAUGACGGUCCAUUUGCGUCAUUUCAAAAAGCGCCCUCUAUCGCAAAACUUUGUAACUCAGCUAUCGCACACUGAAGCAGAUCUUUGCAAGCAUCCUGUUCAAAAUUGAAUCAAAGAUAAAAUUCAAAUCGAAAUCUUUUCAUUUGUACACUGCAUUCAAAGGCUUCAGCUUGUGCUGGUAAGGAUUUCACUUAACGCCAAAAAGGUUAAAAUUGAAAAACAAAUUUCUGUUGUCAUCAUUUUAUCAUUUGGCUGUGUCUCACGCACAACAAGUCGCAAAGGUUUUGCUUUUCUUUUACUUCUGAACUCGUGGUUCGAGGCUGUUAUGUUGCAUUGGGUUGUAAUUGUUGCUUUAACGAAAGUUGAAGAAAAUGCUUGUACAUAAUACCAACAGUUCCUUAAAGCAACAAAAUCUAUCGUUAGUGUCCAUUGUUAGACAGAUAGUUAAAGCGGAAGAUUAAAGACAAUAGAAAGUAAAUCUAUUCAUGUAAUCCUCUAAAUGGAAAAAUAUGAGGUUAGAAGAACAGAAUCAUAGAAACUAUAACAAAUGUAUUGCAUAAGCCAUUUUAAACGCAAUACAUUUUCCUCCAACAAUUUUUUGUUAGACAAUCUACAACAGCGAUAAAACGAUAGCAAUAAGAAUAUUCGAAACAUAAUUCGAGUUAAGCAAAAUAAUAAAAUGUAACACAAAAUAACUGUGUGCAAAACCAACAAA